rnacentral:rRNA from 1 species
GAACGAGGAUAUACCCUUCGGGGUAUAAACCGAGUGGCGCAAGGGUGAGUAAUGCAUAGAUUGCCUGCCUCCGGGAUAAGGACAACUUUGUGAAAACGAAGCUAAUACUUAAUAAUACAAAAGAAAAUUAUUUUCUUUUGUCAAAGGGAGGGUAGCAAUACCUUUUGCCUGGAGAGGGGUUUAUGUCCUAUCAGCUUGUUGGUGGGGUAAUGGCCUACCAAGGCGAAGACGGGUAGCCGGUCUUAGAGGACGGUCGGCCACACUGGGACUGAGACACUGCCCAGACUUCUACGGAAGGCUGCAGUCGAGAAUCUUUCGCAAUGCCCGAAAGGGUGACGAAGCGACGCCGCGUGGGUGAGGAAGGCCUUCGUGUUGUAAAGCCCUGUCAGGAGUUAAGAAAUAUAAGUGCGUUAAUACCGCAUUUAUUUGACGAAGGCUCCAAAGGAAGCCACGGCUAACUCUGUGCCAGCAGCCGCGGUAAUACAGAGGUGGCAAGCGUUGUUCGGAAUUAUUGGGCGUAAAGAGCACGUAGGUGGGUUUGUAAGUCAGGUGUGAAAGCCUUCUGUUCAACGGAAGAAUUGCAUCUGAAACUGCGAGUCUUGAGUGUAGGAGGGGAGAAUGGAACUUCUGGUGGAGCGGUGAAAUGCGUAGAUAUCAGAAGGAACGCCGGCGGCGAAAGCGAUUCUCUGGCCUAUUACUGACACUCAGUGUGCGAAAGCUAGGGGAGCAAACGGGAUUAGAUACCCCGGUAGUCCUAGCCGUAAACGAU